AUGCUGUGGGCCCCAGUGCUGCUUCUGGUGUUCCUGGCUCUUGUCACUCAGGUAUCUUCCAACAUGGAAGGCGACAGGAUGUCAAUCACCAGGGCAACUGGGUCCUCUGCUGUAAUCCCUUGUGAUCUUCCUACACAAAACAUCAAAUAUAUCCACUGGUACAAAUUCCAGGAGGGAACUGUACCCCGACGCCUUCUCUACUAUGAUGUCUCCUACUCAAAGGUUGUGUUGGAACCAGAAAUCAGUCCAGGGAAAUACCACUGCUAUGAAGGCACAGACAAGAUAUAUAAAUUUGUAAUCUCAAGUCUUCAAGAAAGUGAUUCUGGUGUGUACCGCUGCGCUGUCUGGGAGAAGCACAUUGGCUGGAAGAAGAUAUUUGGAAAAGCAACUGAGCUCAUAGUAGCUUCCCCUGAUAGAGACCUUGAUAUAGACAUGUCUCCCAAGCCCACUAUGUUACUUCCUUCGAUUACUGAAAUCAAGCGUGAUAAUAGUGGAACAUAUCUUUGUCUUCUGGAGGACUUUUUCCCUCAUGUUAUUAAGGUUUAUUGGAGAGAAAAAAGAGGCAACAAAGUUUUGCCAUCCCAGGAGGGAAAAACCAUUAAGACUGCUGACACAUACAUGAAGUUCAGCUGGCUGACCGUGUCUGGAAACUCCAUGGAUAAAGAACACAUGUGUAUCGUCAAACAUGAGAAAAAUAAAAGAGGAACUAAUCAAGAGAUUCUUUUUCCUGCAGUGAAUGAAGUUGUCUCUUCAGUUGUCACUACUACUAAACAUCCAAAUGAUGGUUUGAAGGAUAAAAGUGAAAAACAAGUCCCUGUUGCAAAUUCUACAAAAGCAUGUCUGAAAGACAAAAACAAUACCCUGCAGCUGCAGCUCAUGAACACCUCUGCCUAUUACACCUACCUCCUCCUCCUCAUUAAGAGCACAGUCUACUUUGCCAUCAUCACCUCCUGUGUGUUCAGGAGAACAGGCGUCUGUGGCAAUCAGAAGAGCUCGUGA